rnacentral:rRNA from 1 species
CCUACGGUGAGCUGCAGUAGGGAAUCUUCCACAAUGGGCGAAAGCCUGAUGGAGCAACGCCGCGUGGGUGAAGAAGGUCUUCGGAUCGUAAACCUCUGUCAGCAGGGAAGAACGGUCACUGUGCUAAUCAGCAGUGAAUUGACGGUACCUGCAAAGGAAGCACCGGCUAACUCCGUGCCAGCAGCCGCGGUAAUACGGAGGGUGCGAGCGUUAAUCGGAAUUACUGGGCGUAAAGCGCUCGUAGGCGGUAUGUCAAGGCAAGGGUGAAAUCCCCGCGCUCAACGUGGGAACUGCCUUUGAAACUGGCAAACUGGAGUGUGUGAGAGGAUAGUGGAAUUCCAGGUGUAGGAGUGAAAUCCGUAGAUAUCUGGAGGAACAUCAGUGGCGAAGGCGACUAUCUGACACAUAACUGACGCUGAGGAGCGAAAGCGUGGGUAGCAAACAGGAGUAGAUACCCUAGUAGUC